UACGUAGGGUGCGAGCGUUAAUCGGAAUUACUGGGCGUAAAGCGUGCGUAGGCGGUUCCUCAAGUCCGUUGUGAAAGCCCCGGGCUCAACCUGGGAAUGGCAGUGGAAACUAGGGGACUGGAAUCUGGCAGAGGGGGGUGGAAUGCCGGCGGUGUAGCAGUGAAAUGCGUAGAGAAUGCGGCGGAACACCGAUGGCGAAGGCAGCCCCUGGGCUGAGAUUGACCGCUCAGGCACGAAAGCGUGGGGAGCAAACAGGA
rnacentral:rRNA from 1 species